GUGGCUGUGUGGUAAGUAGCUUGUUUACCAACCACAUGUGGUGUUUCAAAUUCCUCUGCUGUGUAUUGGGCAAUUUCCUCCUACCAUAUCAUUAGGUUGAUCAAUAUUUGUGAGAGGAACUUGGUCCAUGGGAACUUGGCAGAAUCCAGUUGUGUGUGUGUAAUAUAUAUAUAUAUAUAUAUAUAUAUAUAUAUAUAUAUGAUACUACACAUUGUAUUUUAAACUAAUACUGCUUCUUUCAUGCGUGAUGAAAUAUAUACACGUUUGCUAACUUGUCCUGUCUAUGUUGUCCUUUUCUUGUGCUCAUUGCCUUAUUAAUAUAUGUACAUAUAUGUUAAAAGGCAGACGUUACAGCAAUAGAUUGCUUUGAGCUGUUUGUUUCAACUAUGUUGUCUGAGGUACACUAUCUAGUUUCCAGUCAUAGUUUGAUGGGCAACUGACUUGACUCUGCUUAUACCAUGAAUGUCAUUCACUCUCUCAUUCCUUUGUUAGUUUUAUUUGAGGCCUUCUAUUUAAAUAAUAAAGAAAAAAACUACUCUGUGCAUACAUUCAUACACAAAUUAUCCAUAGGAGAGCUCAUAUAUGGAAGCAUACCAUACUAAAAAUUUCAGUCAAAUCUCUUAUUACCAUUUUGAAAGAUAAAAAAAAAGGGGCGUGUUGGACAAUAUAAAAGGUACACAAUGUCUAUGAAAAAAUGGUUAAAGCUGGAAUGCUUUUGGUUACAGGUUUGCUUACACAGGACUGAUUUGGGGAUUAAACAACCGCUCUGUACACUGUUUGUGUGUUUACUUUCACCAGAUAAUACUGGAGCAUUAAGCAAGAUUUUUCCAACAAUUCAAAUCGCAUCUCUACAGAUCACUGGUUUAGCUUGAGCUAACAAGGAAGCUACUACCUGCCAGAAAUAACAGCCAAGUCUCCAUCAUACCACAAUUUGCUGUCUUAAAGAAGGAAAGACAUUGAAUGAUGAUGUAGUUCUAGAUGUAUUAAGCCAAGGAAAAAAAAGAUUGAAUAGCCAGUCUGGAAUACCUUUUGAUCAUAAGUCUUUGUGAUCAGGUCUGACCUUGGGUUAAACAACAUUUUCUCUAGUUGGAUUUUGUUGCUGAGUUUUUAUCAGUUUUCCUCUUCUUUCACAGAAUUCUUUCCUGUAAAACUGUUUACAGAGAGCUUCUACUGUUGAUGUUUAGAACUCAAGACAACUGUAGUGAAAGGCAUUCUAGCCAUGGCCAUCAUAUCAAGAAUACAUUAUCUGAUUUGUCCUUCCUUUAUUGAGAUGCUUAUGUGAGAUCUGAAGGAGAUUGUACUAGCUGGUUGGGUUAUUGCAUAACCUCUCACUACAUGGUGUAUCAACUUUGUUUCUUCUCUACAUGGUAAUAUUCUGUAUAUCUACCAUGCCUGCUCUUCUCACUUGUAUGCAAUAUGUAGGUGUAUGUAUGUGUUGGUGGUGGUGGUAUACUCCCAACAAGCUGAGUCUGUUGCACUGGUUUUAUUUCUGGUUAAACAAAUUUCACUUCUGUUACUCUGUAAAUGCAUGAUUUCUGGCUGCUGACAGUGGAGAGAGAUGGCGGUAAGAACAGGGAUCUGCACGAUUGAUUUGGCCUCUGACAGACUAAACAAUGCAAAGCCAGUGAUCUAUUAAAGAUUGAGUAUUUUCAUCAUG
rnacentral:lncRNA from 1 species